UGGGGGAUAUUGCACAAUGGGCGAAAGCCUGAUGCAGCGACGCCGCGUGGGGGAUGAAGGCCUUCGGGUUGUAAACUUCUUUUGCUCUGAACAAGGCAUGCUAAUGGGUGUGUUGAGUGUAGGGGUUGAUUAGCGCCGGCUAACUACGUGCCAGCAGCCGCGGUAAUACGUAGGGCGCGAGCGUUGUCCGGAAUUAUUGGGCGUAAAGGGCUUGUAGGUGGCUGGUUGCGUCUGUCGUGAAAGCUCAUGGCUUAACUGUGGGUUUGCGGUGGGUACGGGCUGGCUUGAGUGCAGUAGGGGAGACUGGAAUUCCUGGUGUAGCGGUGGAAUGCGCAGAUAUCAGGAGGAAUACCGGUGGCGAAGGCGGGGCUCUGGGCUGUUACUGACACUGAGGAGCGAAAGCAUGGGGAGCGAACAGG
rnacentral:rRNA from 1 species